AGCUAAUUACAGAUGACAUUGCGAAACUGAAAAUCGAGCCUAUACCAGAGUUUCCUAGCAUACAGUAUACUGCUAAGUCCGUCAAAGAUAACGACAUUAAACAGCUGUUUGGCAUAUUAGAAACAAGUGAUGCAUGUACGCGACUAACAGCAGUUACAGAACAAGAAUUGCUUAAACCAAAGAGUGAAUACAAAGAGAUUAUUCAAACCAAGGAUCAAGGAAAAUUCCUGUUCAAAUGUGGCAAGUGUGGGAAGGAAGAGAGCACUGAUAA